GAUGAAGAACGCAGUGAAAUGCGAUAAUUAAUGUGAAUUGCAGAAUUUAGUGAAUCAUCGAAUCUUUGAACGCACAUUGCGCCCCUUGGUAUUCCGGUGGGCAUGCCUGUUCGAGCGUCAUUUCAACCCUCAAGCUCUGCUUGGUCUUGGGCCGCGCCGGCAACGGCGGGCCUCAAAAACAGUGGCGGCGCCAUCUGGUCCCUCAGCGUAGUAAUUCUUCUCGCUGCUGGGCCCCGGUGGCCGCUUGCCAGCAACCCCAAACUUUCUAUGGUUGACCUCGGAUCAGGUAGGGAUACCCGCUGAACUUAAGCAUAUCAAUAAGCGGAGGA
rnacentral:misc_RNA from 1 species